GUUCCACGCCUAUUUGCAGCUGCGCACUGCUCCUUGUUGGUCACUCUGGUGGUCGUCUGGAGGCCUUUGGGGCUGAAGUCACCAAUUUUCCUUCAGCUGAAAUUUUCACCUUGUCUUUUUGUGCAUGCUCCUUUCAGUUCUUUUGAACCCUCUCUUUCCAUUUCUUGUGGCUUAGGGGUCCAAAAGAAUCCAAGGAACCCCCUCACCCUAUGGUGCAUUUAUGCUUGCAUCCUGUUUACGUAUUCUAGCUCUUUAUCUCAUCCUGCAGUCUUUAUUCUCUUCCUGCUCUUUUGGGAGCAGUCAGCAUUUCACACGGGUUUUGUAGCCCCUUCUUUUACUCAGGGCAAUUUUUAUAAAUGAUUCCUAAUUUCUCUGUUUCACCCUGGCCCAGUGGCGCUGUGGGCUGGGUCGGCACCGCGGCUCCCCGGGCAGCAGCCGGCCCUCUGCCCCCUCCAGAGCCCGGCGCCAGCGGCUGCUGGCCGGGCCUCAGGGCUGGGCGGGCACGGGAGGCCGGGGCUGGCCGCAGACAGCGCCCGGCCGAGGGGCAGAGCCCGCACCAACCCUUCCCUCCUGCCGCUCUCUCCAGCUGGCACAGGACGAGAGGCAAGCAGCUGAGCACCUGCGCCGGGCCCUGCCGUACCUGCAGAGCCCACAGGAGUCCCUGCGAGCGGCGGCCAUCAGGUUCAUCGAGAUGGUCGAGGUACCCAUGAGGGGGCAGCAGGAAGAGCUCUAGGCCUUCAGUAAGGCCUUUUAAGCCCUGAGGAGGAAUGACAGCCCUUCCCAGACAAACACAGUAGUUCAACUGAUAUUCAGUGAAAGAGCUGCAGAAGUAGGCUCAUCUGCUGGCUCAGAAGAAACAGUGUUCAUUUAAGACCUCC